CUGGACUUGUAUGAAAAUGGCUCGUCCUUGGACUGAAAUUUUGACUUAGGGACCUUUCUGCAAAAAAGAAAAAUUGAAGGACUAAACUGCAAUAAUAAAAAAAUGGACUGAAAUGAAAUUUUUAAAUGUUUUGGACUAAAAUGCAAUUUUAGAAACUGUCUCAGGGACUAAAAUGCAAUAAAAAAUAAAAUUGGACUAAAAUUGGUAAAUUGGACAAAACGUAAAGUGAAACCAAAAAUAAAAUCAACAAAAGGACUAAAACGAACCAAUUACUGACAUGAG
rnacentral:lncRNA from 1 species